rnacentral:rRNA from 1 species
CGAGAGUUUGAUCCUGGCUCAGGAUGAACGCUAGCGGGAGGCCUAACACAUGCAAGCCGAGCGGUAGAGAUUCUUCGGAAUCUUGAGAGCGGCGCACGGGUGCGGAACACGUGUGCAACCUACCUUUAUCAGGGGGAUAGCCUUUCGAAAGGAAGAUUAAUACCCCAUAAUAUAUUUGAUGGCAUCAUUGAAUAUUGAAAACUCCGGUGGAUAGAGAUGGGCACGCGCAAGAUUAGAUAGUUGGUGAGGUAACGGCUCACCAAGUCAAUGAUCUUUAGGGGGCCUGAGAGGGUGAUCCCCCACACUGGUACUGAGACACGGACCAGACCCCUACGGGAGGCAGCAGUGAGGAAUAUUGGACAAUGGGUGAGAGCCUGAUCCAGCCAUCCCGCGUGAAGGACGACGGCCCUAUGGGUUGUAAACUUCUUUUGUAUAGGGAUAAACCUACUCUCGUGAGAGUAGCUGAAGGUACUAUACGAAUAAGCACCGGCUAACUCCGUG